rnacentral:lncRNA from 1 species
GAGGAUGGUGUGGUAGGAGUAGGUAGGGAUGGAUUCGGAUUAGACAUGCAUGUAAUCGAAUUCGGAUAGCACUAUUUCCUACAUUUUAAUUCAAAUUCGAAUACGAAUACAAAACGAAUAGUUCAAAUUCGCAUUCGCAUUCAGAUAUUUACUCGACUUAUAACAUAGUGUCAUAACGAGUAUCAAUUUGCUUUAUCAAUGGUUUUAUAAUUGAUCAAAAAUCAUGUUAUCAAUAGGGAGUAAAUUAUGAGC